rnacentral:lncRNA from 1 species
GGAAAGGGGUUAAAAGGAGGAUGUGUUGUGUACAUGCACCGACUCCACACAAGGAAAGUAAGCAUUAUGCACUGCAAACAUGUACUAAUAAAAACUCUAGCGGUUAAGUUCAUUACGCUUUUUUUUAAGUUCUUUUAUUCGUACAUUUUAGGGAUACAAUUCAUUUACAUUUAUCAUUGGGUGUUUGUACCUGUACAUGAUGUGUCUUGGUUCUUAUUUUUUCCCCAUUACCUGUGCACCUCACCCCCUCCGCCCUUCCGUAUUUACAUAGGUUUCAUUUCCAUUUUUUAAUCUUUUCUCAUAGUUUUUCCUUUCCCUCUUUUCCUUUCCCCUUCCCCUCCCUUCACCCCUUCAUCUUUGGACCUUUUUUCCGAUUUCAAAUUAUCAAUUAUUCAUUUUAAUCAUUUUAACCUUUGUUUACACUUUCAGUUUCUCACACUAGUGAAACUAUUCGGUAUUUGCACAUGUGUGUCCCAUUUAUUUCACUUAAGAGUAUGGCCUUGAUAUGCAUCCAUUUAGCUAUAAAUGAUCAUACCACAGAGAUAUAUGUGCACCCAUGUUCAUAGCGGCACAGUUUGUAAUAGCUAAAGCUUGGAAACAUCCCAAGCACCCAUCAACUGGAAACUGGAUAAAGAAAAUGUGAUUUUUUUUUUAUAAGAUGGAGUACUACUCAGCCAUAAAGAACGAAAAACUAAGUUCAUUAAUCUUAAGGAUAUUUUCAGCUCAUACAGAGACUGCAAGAAUGUAAGAGAAAUAAUUGGGAAUAUUUUAAAUUACUAACUUGCUAAGCAUUUUUCAAGGGUUAAAAGGUUUAGAGGAUAAAUGCUUAUGACUAUGUGAUGCAUACAGCACAUGUAAAAUUACAUACCUUAUUUUCAUGUUUUAUUGAAUGUAUUCCUUUUACUGGAAUUUAAGCUUCUUGAAGAUGGCCAACUUGAUUUGUCAGUAAUAUUAUUCUGUGUGCCUAGAUUAGAAUGGUUUUGCUACUCAUAGCAGGUGUUCAGCAAAUGUUUGUUGAAUAAAUGAAUGGUAGGCAUUCCACCAAUAUUGUGUUCACUAUUUGCUUAUUAGUGAACCACAAAGGCAGUAAUGUGAUAAAAUUUUUAUUCAUUUAUUUAACAUAUUAAAGGAGUGUCUAACACAUAGUAGGCACUCAGUAAGUAUUUGAUGAUUGGAGAAAUGAAUUAGUAUUCCAGUAUGCUCAAGGAUGAAUUUUUAAAUAACUACGAAUCUGCCAGAGCUUGGCUAACGAAGCACCAUAAACUGGGUAGUUUAAGCAACAGAAUUUUUCUCUCACAGUUCUAGAGGAUGGAUAUCCAAAAUCAGGGUGUCAGCAGGAUUGGUUGCUUGUGAAACCUGUGAGAGAGAAUCUUUCUCAUGCCCCUCACCCAGCCUGUGGUGAUUUGCUGACAAUCUUUAGUGUUCAUGGACUUAUAGAAGCAUCACUCCAAUCUCUGCCUUCAUCUUCACAUGACAUUCUCCCUGUUGGUAGCAAUAAAUUGUAGAGCUCACUCUACUGCAAUGCAACCUCAUCAAAAUUAGUCACAUCCACAAUGACCCUAUUCCCACAUAUAGUUAUGUUCUGCAGUACUUGGGGCUAGAACUUUAACCUAUGAAUUUGGGGGGCACAUAUUCAGCCAUAAUACUAAAAUAACGCAGAGCUUCAGGUAGUAACAUUUUGAUGGAUGACAUCUAUUUGAAAAACUUCAGCUUCUCAAAAUAACAUCUAGUUUUAUGAUUCUAUAUGGAAAUUGAUAUAGUGGUAUUAAAUAGCUUUUACUAUGUUAUGCAAAAAUGUGUGUCUGUAGAGAAACACAAAGAAGUCCAAGGAGCCUAACUGGAUAGCACAUUUUCUUCGAUGCUAAGUGGCCUAAUGUGACCAGUGGGUUAUGUGGAAAAGGCUGCUGAGAGGUUUCCAAAAACAUUUGUAUGUGAAGCAAAGGGGUUUGGGAUUUGGCUUUAUUUUAAAAACAUGAGAGGACCAACAUAGAAGUCAAUUGAAUGGUAGAACAGUGUACAAAUGGUAAACUUUAUUGAAUAUAAAUUUUACCUCAGUGAACCCUACUUUGAAAAGGAUUAAAGAAAACAACGUGGUAGAAGAAUGCACAUGGGGACAAGCAACUCAGAAGGUUUUGGUACCAUUUUACCACCAAAGCUACUGCCCUGAGUCCCCUCAGGCUUCAGAGACACUUGCCUUCAAAAUAAAAUGUAUAAAAAAAUAAAACAAACAAAAUCUGUAAAGUUAUUGUAUUAAAGAAAAAUCAUACUUAUAAAAAAAAAAUGAAAUUGCUAAUGCCAGCCCCUUUAGCAGCUGUGGAAGCUGAUCAAAACUGGGCUGAUCAUCUGCAAGCCUGUGACUGUCCAUUUCCAGGCUUGAUGCCAGAAAAACUCCUGGGCCCAUUCUAAGGACAGGUACAAGAGCACGGGUAAGCUAAAGGGUAAGACUGAUUCCCAAAUGGUGGCAGGAAAGGAAUCCUAGAUGAAGAGGACAUACACUCCAUGGGCUUCUGGGAAGAUAGCUAGUUUCAAGGAAGAUAGGCCACAUGUGUAGGUGAAGGAGAAUAUGUCCUAAAGUGAGCAGAUUCUCAGGGAACACAUCUACAAGCUGAAGGCAGACCAGGUCCACAAGGCCAUGCCAGCAUGUCAGCAAUGGGGAGCACCUCCUGGCCAAAAAGGAAAUGAUCAUUAAUACUGUCAAAGAAGUCAAAGACCAAGAAAUAAAGCACUCCCUCUUCUUUUGGUACAUUGCCUUGGUGGUUACACCAGUCAUUGGAAUAAAACAAGCCUUUCUCUUCUGGCUGAAAAAGAAAGAAGCAGAACAAGAAGAAGAGGGGAUUUUCUUGUGUGUGAAGUUGACAAAAAAUAGUUUAAUUAGAAACACAGAGAAACCAGAUUUCAAUAGGUUGAGGAAUAAAUGAGAGUUUAGGAAGCUUAAAGUUACCACAAAGUAGGAAAAGAUCUGAUGCAUAGCAGAAGGUUUCUUGUUUGUUGCUUAGUAUGAGGACUGCUAUCUUUGUUUGUUACUUAGUAUGAGGACAGCUAAAGCAUGUUGGCGGGCAGUGGGAAAAUUGAAAAUAUGAAAAGAAGGAAGGAAUAACUGAUGCAAUAAGAUUGACUGUGGAGAAGGUCAUCAGUGCUGGAGAGAAGGAUCUCUGAACUGUUAUAAAUGGGUUCAGUGUCGGAGGUCACGUUAUUAGCCAGAGGUGAAAAGUAGGGGAACAGUUAUAAGGAAUGAAAUAGUGAAUGAAACUGGAAAAAAGAAAUUGACUAAGAACAAAAUAAAGAGUUAGAAAGUAGUUCUGAUACUGUAGAUCAACCUGAAAACCAUAAUUCUGAGAAGCACCAGACUGUACAGUUUUGAUUUUUCCCCAGCAUUGCUUAACAGUCUAGGAGCUGAGGAAGGAACGUAUUAUCAGAUUCAUUUGGGCUCAAGAACUAGGUAAUUGCAGUUGAGAACCAUAGAUAAGGAAAAUGAUGGAACAGAUGAUGUCAUUAAAGUUAAAAACUCUGAGGGAAGAAGAAAUUAAAGAUUAAUAGUCUGGGAGAAAAAGGGAAAUAAUGAAAACUAAAAAAGUCAUAGUAAAAAAGGUAGAGUACUUGUUUUGGGGGCAAAAUGUCUGAAUAAGGAAGCUGCCCCUACCACACAUAUGUUUUGCCACAAAUCUCAGAAAACCACAGAAAGUGGGCUGAACUCUUUGGAGAACAUAGACUUGACUCAAAAAACAGCCUGAUGGUCAGGAUUUCCUUCCUAUUUGCCAUUAAUUUAAAAGGAACAGUGUUACUCCACUUUAUGUUAUUGUAACAAAUACCUGAGAUUAGAAGCUUUAAAGAGGAAAGGUUUAUUUUGACUCACAGUUUGGAAGUCUCAGUCCAUGACCAAUUGUCCUCAUUGCUGUGUGCCUGUGGAGGCACAAUCUAUGGAGAGUGUGAAGAGAGAGUGUGUGGAAGAGAAAGCCCAUUCACCUCAUCACUGGGAACAAGAGACACAAAGACGAGGAUCCAGGGUCCUAAUAUCUUCUUCAAAAGAAUGUUCCCAAUGUCCUAACUUCCUUCCACUAAGCCCCACAUUCUAAAGGUUCCACCAUUUCCCAGUAGCACCAGGGGCUGGGAACCAAGCUUUUAACACUUGGGCCUUUGUGACACAUUCAAGACACAAAUUGUAGCAGUAACCAUCAUUAACAUCAUUAUCACAGAAUCCUAAUCCUUAGGGAAAGAAUGUCACCUGUGUAUGUAAGAGGAGAAGAAAUAGGAGCCUUCCAUGGGAGAGUAGCAAUCAGCUUGACAAGAGACAAAUGUUUUUUCUUUUUACUUCAGAUUCCAAAAGUGUAGUUAUGUUGUCCUAAAGGUGUGUUCUUUCAUUUCUCUUAUUUUAAGGUUGUUAAUUUAUUGUUCUGUAGUCUCCAGAGCUGCCACCUUCUCUUAGUCUUCACCCUUCUUUUCUUAUUUCUCCUUUGUCCUGUCAGCCUAUUUUUAGGCAUUGAAAAUUGUCAUGUGUCUCAGCAACCUUCCUGUACUCAGUGUCCAUAUAAAAUAUUCCCAUAACCUUAGUAUUAAAUUUUGCCCCUAAAAGACUGGGCUAAGAAGUUGGAGGUUUGUUAGAGAAUACUUUCAGGUUCUUUGCAGAGGACCCUGUAUAGCUAAUCUGUCAUGCCCUAUGAAUUCUGAUGAACCUAGGUGUCUCUCUAUAGUAUUCAUAAGAAGAAUUCUGCUCCUAUGGGCCCUGUCUCCAUAUGUCAGCCUUACAAAGUAACCAACCAUGUUAUUCACUGUAAGAUACCAUGCUCUAGUUAUCCUUUACUUGCUUGAGUAGACUAAGAUGAACAUAAUAUACAGAGUUUAAUAGUUUCCUAAACUCUGAAAAUUCCUAAGCUUCUUCUCUUGGUGCUUUCUAUAUAUAAGUUCAAAAAACAGCUUUGGGAGAAUUUCAAUAAGCAAUUCUAAAGAAAUCUUUAUUUUUUUCCAAAUAAAUUCUUGUAGAAUUCCGUUUUUCCCCUGUUUUUUUUCCAACUUCUGAUCCUAUUAUAGCUCUUUCCAGCAAUGCUAAAACCCAGCCGGUCUGGAGAUUAAUAUGACCAGACAUACCAUGAAUUUUUUAAAUCUCACAAGUCCCAGUUUCUCCUUCAUCAAUCAAAUAUAGGUUGUGUGUGUUGCAGUAUAUUAUCAUAAGUCUUCCCUAAAUUCUUUUUUUCUUCCUUUUUUUGUCUCACUGUCCUCUAAAUUAUUCCUAAAUGCUUCCUAUUAUAAAAAGGUAGAAGAACCUGAAGAACAGAGAAAGAAAAUGAUUUGAUGGAAGUUGGAAAGAGAAAGCAUACUAGGAAAAAGAGGAAACCAAUGAGGAUAUGGAAAAAGUAGUGAUUUCCUUUUCUCCUACUCCCUCCAGACCCCUUUUAGGUUUUGUUUUGAUACUUUUAUUUAACCUAAUGCCCUCAAAUGACCUAGUCCUAGAAGUUUGUUCCUAGCAACCUGUACAGCACGUCUUCUAUUUUCCCAGCAGACUGAACUCUCCUCUCCGGAGAGUUCUCCCAAGCCCCUUAUUCAUAGACUCGAAGAUUUGAACCAAUUGCCAUUAAUUCCAUGUACACUUUAUACCAUGCUGGCAUGGAGAGUGUUAAUAGCUGAUGUAAUUCUGAAAGAACUUAAGCAACAAUUUGGUUUUACUUUAUUAUCAUUCAAAAUAUAAACAGGUAAACUACAUGUUGAAUUCAUUAAAUUCUUCCUGCACUGUUUAGAAAUAUGAAAACUGCAUUUUUUAAAAGGGGACUGAUUGGUGUCAUGUACGUAUUUGUUCAUUUCUGUUUAUGCAAGAUAAUAAGAGUAUUAACAUGGAAGAGGAAUAAUGGUAUUUAUAAUUUCAUCACUACUGUUUAUAUAAGAUGAAAAUGUCUGAAAAGAAAUGGGGAGAGAGUACUUGCUGCUCUCUAUAUACAUUAAAUUACUCUAUUUUUAUUGAUAAGGCAUGUGAGAAGAAAAACAAGUUUAACAACCUAAAGAAAAGUUAAUAUUCUUUAAUUCAUAUUCACUAACAUUAACCUAGGGUGGCUAGGUUCAGAAAAUGAAGCACUAAAAUGUAAUGGAGGGGCUACCUCCUUAUAAAGGAAAAUGAGCGCCAGAGACAUGUGCUUUACUAAAUCCUCUCUGAGACUGAAACUGCUUGAGUAAGAUUAUGGUCCUCUAUUGAAUGCUGAAGUUUCUAUCCUAGGGAAUGGUAAGUGACAUCAGGAAGACCAGUGACUUAUAAUUUGCCUGUAUCUUGAGAUAUGCUUCCUAGGGCCUGAAGCCCCAUUAAAGAUUCCAAAAAAAAAAAAAAAAAAAAUACUUUAGGUCAGAUUUUAAGAAUCCAUUUCAAAAAUUAAAUAGUUCUAGGUAGACUUUUAUAAUAUUUCUAUGGUAGUUUCAAAAAGAAAGAUCUGGGACUAGAGAAGAGGUUUCUUAGGAUGUACAUUUAGGAUGUCAAAUUAGCUGAAUUGUUAAUAUAAUCCAUAAAAGGUCAAGUCAUUCAUGAGGGUUUAAUGAUUAUCACAGGGCAACUGAGGGAAAAAAGCAAAUGAAGAUAAACAGGAGUUGUUUUGUGCUGGUUAUUAUAUUUAUGAUAUUUUUCUCAAGUGAAAAUGGAGGCAUAAAUUCUUUCAAAAGAGUGAAUUAGAGUGGAAGGUCCUUGAGGGAAGGAGCAGAACCUCCUUCACAAAGUAAUAAGUAAUAGGUUCUAAAAAAAAAUCUGCUAAAUUAAUGAAUGGCUCCAUUUAAAAAUAAUUUUCAUAUUCUCCUUUAUCUAAACCAACUAUCAAGGUAAGUUUAGGAACUUUACUAGGCUCAGUUAAGAAAGAGUUGAUUUUCAACAAGGACAUAAAGUCAUUAAUUUUUGUAAUUCAUUCUUUUUAAUCCCCAUUCACAUUCCCAAUUCUGUUCACCCCAUAUUGUAUUGUUAAUGGAACUAAUCCUGUAUGAAAGUGAUGGGGUAUGAAGCCAGAAAGGUAGUGAGAUGUGUAUUGUAUUGGGCCUUAUAGCCCCUAGUAAGGGUUUUGGGAUCUCAACCAUCGAAGAGCCUGAAAAAUUCUAAUGGGUAGGAGGAAAUGGAUAGGAGAUUGCUGUUGAAAUCACAGCAACCCUGUCAUUGUAGGAUGACCGGAUGAGGCAAUUUCCACUGAAGGCUGGAAGUAUGGAUUUAGUAGCUUGAUUUAGGCUAUAUGUCAAAUAUGACAUUCCCAGCUAGUGUAAAUAAAGGCAAACUGUGCCUCACUGAACUUUCCAUUUGUGCCUUAUCACCAGUUUUACCAACCUGACAGUCCCAUUUGGCAGCCAUACCUAAAAGAAGCUCAAAGAAUAGUAGCAAGUGUGCUUUAGAAAUUUCAAAAGAUCUCCAGUUCCAACCAUAAGCUUUAAGACGAUUAAAACAAGAAUUUUAAAUAUUAGGUAGAUUUUCAUUUGUAUUAAUUGUUGCUAUGCUAGGAAUUAUAGAAUUCCCGGGCACUUAAUGAUGUGUGCUUAAGUCACUUUGCAGAAGAAUUAGAGGUUGAAAGUCCACACAAGAUGUACACUCUCUGUGAUCAAGUCCUAACAAAGCAAGCCAAUUUACUGCAUGUCCUUUUGAGAAGGGAGAGAUGUGAUAAUUUUCCUAAAAUGGGACAUUCAGAAGAGGUCAUUUUCUUGUCUGUUUUUAUCUAAAUCUUUUAAACCCUGAAGCCAUGUACUAGUAGAACUGAGGGAAAUAGCCUAGAAUUUUUCUUGUCAUUUACAGAGAUGACAGACUUUAAAAUCUGAUGGCUUUUUCAAAAGCUUCUAACAAGACCUAGAACUUGCCUGGCUCCAUUUAUCUAGCCAAGAGACAUUUUUAUGAUUUAUCCAUAGAGGUUUUUAGAAGAACCUUACAUAUACUGUCUAAAUUAAUGAUAUUCCUUUCUCUUUCCAUGACAAAAAGCACUCUACACUAUAUACAUUAUGCUAAAGGUUUUUUUUAACAUGUGGACAUAUUCUAUAAAAGCAUUUUCAGUUUCAUCAUGUUGACAAGCUGAUUCUAUUAAAUCACCCACCAUCAUCAUGUUCACUUUUUUUCUUCUUUUUUGAAAAGUUAGAAAACAGUGAUCACAGAGUUUUCAAGGCAUUCACUUUGGCUAAAAUAAAUCCAGAAAAACAUGAGUCUGUUCCUUGAACUGGAAAGAAAGAUAUGUCAUUCUCUCUUCAGUCUUUCUCUUAAAACUACUUAGGAUAAGGAAGGAGGCCAUAGCUCUUUUGAAAAUUUUUCCAGAAAACUGAGAUUUUUAAAAUGUUCUGAACAUAGAUCAAAUGUUUCUACCUCAUUAUUUAUUAUGUAUUAUUAUUUGUUACUUAAAAUAGGCAGUGCAAAACAUUGAAUGAAUGACAUGAAAGGGUUUCAUUCAAAGAUUUUUGACUAUACACCCUCAGAUAUAUUGCUAUUCAAUAAUAUUUUAGAGUCACGCUGCUGUUUUGAAUUAGGGCAGAAAUAUCCCUACUCCUCCCAACCCUGUGCUUUCCUUACUGAGAGAGAAUAAUCAUAUGAUCACGCUGCUGCUGGAUCAUUUAAAGCAUUGAGUAGAAGUGUGAAAUGAGAGAAAAAAUGCCCAGUAUGGGGUUAAUUAGCUCUGUGGAGUUGUGGGUGGGUCACUUCCUCAGGACCAAAUCAUGCAGGAGGAACUAUGCAUAUGCAGACUUACAGAAUAAAAAGAAAGACAUAAACCUUCAGACUCUGGGGCACAAAUUGAUUGGAAACAAGAAAGGAAGUCUUAUGUGCUGUGAGUCCUUUGGGCUCCAUUGGUCAGAGACAAAUGGUCUUCCCUUAAAGUGUCUGGUACAGGCCACUGUCAGACACUGAAAAUAAAUCCAUGGUUUAAGAAAGCCCUGGCAAAAGUGACUAUUUUUUUUAAUUUACCUCUGUUGAUCCUUUAUAAAUUAAUAUCUUCUCAGUUUCCUUUAAUGUGCCUUAUUUUCCAGGUCUUAUCUUGGAAACAACCUAAUUUCUUCCUUAAAGCAUGGGUGAAGAAUCUUUUAUGAUUUCAUCAUUGUGUCUCACAGACUGCUACUGGUUCCCUGCCUGCGGAGAUCAGUUCAGCUAUAGUUUGGCCUGAGGGAUUCCUACUAGGUUGUUUACAGCCUAAUCUUUUCAUGAAGUGGGAGGUGAAAGAGCACACAGAAAACAUUCUCAGUUCCUAGAUCCUUAAUAGGUGACUACAAGAAUUCAGAUGUUUACAAGGAAAUCUCACCAGCCAGGUUUUCCAGGACAGAAAGGCAUUGUAAAAUCUCAUUGAGAACUUGCUAACAAAAACCAGGAACCAAUGGACAUAAACCAUAAGAAAAACACUUUCGAUGAAUAUGUUAAUUAAGUUUCAGUGCAAACCAUUUGUGUUUUUUUGUUUCUACCCAAAUUACCCUGACAUUAUUUAGAAGAAACUUCAUAAAGUAUAUGGACAGAAAGUCCCAAAAUGUUCAUAACUUUUGAAAGGAAACAUAUGAUGUAUGCAUAUUUCUAUAGAUAUUUUUAUUUGAUCUCAAAUGGGGAAGCAGAUGAACAGCUGGAGAAUUUAAAGAGUCUGGGACAGAACCCACUACCACCACCACCCUCUCCCCCCACACAAACACCAAAUAUUUCCCUCAUUACCUGUAAAAUAAACUUGAAUGUAGAUCUUGCAAUGACAGUUAAGAAAAUGCAAAUUCCUUUAAGAGGAAGUAUUAAAACAAUUGCAUUAAUACAUUUUUAGAAAACUGAGAGAAGGUUGUGGUUGGGGAGGAUAGAGAGCUGACUGAGAAUGUCUCCAAAGAAACAGUCCCAGUCACUUUUGUUCCUUUUUCUUUAGCUGCCUGAUGAUAGGGAUGUGGAUGUGGAAAUAAGAAGAGAUGGAAGGAGGGAGACGGAAUAAUAAGCUUUAUGAAUUCUAAUAACCCAUGUUAUCAGCUUAUUGUGUCACAGCUUUUCAAAAUUCAAGUUGCUAGUUAGCUUGACAACAUUGCUGUUCAGUUCAUUCCUGUCAUUUGAAAAACAUAAGCAAUGGCUACAUGCACCACCCAUUAUCCUAGUGAGGUUGUCAAAGUUAGCUUUAUGCUGACUUUAUUUUCUGUAGUUCUACUGAACAAAAUGUUUCUUUUGAAAGGUUUUAGACCUCUAUCCUCCCAACUCCUGAUCACAGUAAUAAUCAACCUCAAGAAGUCAUUAGUGAAAACUAGAACAAUCUCCUAUAACAAGUAGAUGCAGAGAAAUUGGCAUAGUUUGUGUCUUUGAUUUGUGUUCUUAUAAAAAUAAUGGGUUGCAAGAUAAAACUACAUUUUUCUCUCUCUGUCUCUUUUUUAACUGGAUCUUUAGAAGUUACACUGGAGCUGAGGUUUUGUUGUUUCCCCCCCCCUUACAAAGGUGGAAUAAUGCUCAAAGGUUUUAAUAACCAAAGUCCAUCUUUAGAAAUAGCUUUCUUCUAUAAUGUACUGCCAAUUUAUUAUGUGUGUGUAUUUUGACCUUCCUGCUUUGGGCUGCCUGUUGAUUGGUACAUGUUAGUGCUUUGCUUAUAAGAGUUGGGCAAUAGUUCAGUGAUCCAGUCCAAAUCUGGGCCAUAGAUAGAAUGGGCUCAUCUUCUAUUUAAGAAAUGUGGCAAACUGCUUUAAAUGCAUUUAGUUCAGACAAGGUCAUUGAAACUGUUCAUCUGACCCUGUGUGCUGUAUGUAAUGGACACUUCUACUGAGCUCCAAAGCUGCAAGGUAAAAGGACAAGAAAGCCAGUAACUUGCCACCCUGGCUAGAGCUUCUCCGGGAGUCUGUUAUUGGAUUUGCAUUCUUAAUCAUAUGGGGCCCACGUUGGUCAUUUAAAGGAGUUGUUCUAUGGUUCUUUUGCUGUCUUUGAAGAUAGUCCUGGGAAUAAUAAAAGUGAGUUCUUAUAUACUGAACUUUUUCUAACUUUUUCUUUAAUUGGAAAUUGAGUUUAUAUGCAUAGUCAGUACCAAGUUUAUGAAAUAUUCAGCUAAAUUUCUUAGAUGUAAACUAAUAAAUUGUUAAAAUGUUUUCCUCUAGCUAAUCAUUAUGUCAAAACUAUAAUAGAUUCAUGUACAUUUUUCUCCAAUUUUAUUUGUGUCAUAUGCACUUGCCAAACUGAAAUGGUAUAGAAGUACCAUAUACAGUAUUUUGAAUUUAAUAGCUAUCUGUAUUGCCUAAUCCUUUUUUAAUUUUACAGUGUAUUUUACUAACCUGUGGCUCUGUAUAAUUUUUAGGUUUAACAUGUUAUAGGACUUUGUAGAAUCAUAUGGAGCAAAUCAAGUCUAGAGAGGUUAUUGAAUUCAUCCCCCUGACUGGAGAAAGAACUGCAUUUAUUCCAUACUAAAUAGAUAAAGAUCUUUCCUAUCUUUAAAGAGCUAUGAAGAAAGAAAUUUUCUAACUUCUCUUACCAAUCUAUUUGAUUAUUUAGCACUUUCAUAUUUAAAAUGUUCCUCUUAAAGUCUUAAAUUCUUCACUGGACAGUUUAAUAUCAUUUUGCCUUAGGACAAGAAUGCUGAUCAUUAUCCUCUUUGUAAACAGAAAACUAUGACAAAUAUACAUUAGCUCUUUUUUCCCUAAGCUAAAUUAUCCCAUUAAAAAAAUUUACUUUUGCUCUUAUAACUCUUUUCAGUGGCACAGGGGACUAUUUUAAAAACUUCUGUCAUAUAUGAUGUCUCUGAGAAAGGCACUGCAUAUUUUAAUUUCACCAUGCUGAUGUGGAAAUAGCCACAGCUUGUUCAUUAUAUCCUGAUGGACAGAGCAUUUGUGUUCAUUUAACCUUGAGGUUUAAACUUGUUCCCAAAAAAGUAACUGACUCAUAGCAUUGGCUAGAGCCAUGAAUAAAGAGCAUCAGUUUUCCUAAUCUUUAAGCUCAUCUUGCCCUCACUCCUAAAAUGCACUAAAAUUAACUUUUCCUUGACCUCUCUCUGGUGCUAUUUAUUUACUGAUUUAACAACUUUUUUUUCUAUCAUCUUUGUCUCCUAAAAUAGAUGGACGGCAUUUAUUCAACAAACAUUGGAGUGUCAUGCUGUGUUUAACACACUAUGCUAGGCUUUGAGAUUCAAGUGUGAACUGUUAGCAAAGGCUCAGAGACAUAGAUGUUCUCACAUGCUCAGGGAGGAGGAAAUGGGCUGUCACAGUAUAUAAAGAAACAAUGGAGGAAAAACAAUUUUAAAAACUGGAGAGAUGGGGUGGAGCCAGAUUGUGAAAAGCCUUAGAUUCUCUUAAACAUCUAGGAGGUAGUGACAGAAUGAAAGUAACUUUUUCCAAUCUAUAUUACAGAACACUCUUUCCAAAUCUUUAGAACAGACUUUGCCCAUGUUGUCCUCAUGAUUUAAUAGCUACACAUCAUUAGGUACAAGUACCGACUUAAUUUAUAUAUUUUGAUAUAACUUUAGUGAUGUAAUUUUGCUUGUUGUAUUGUUUUUAAACCAUUUGAGGGAACCAUUUGAGUAAAGAGAGUCUUCUGUUCACACUGAUCUGAAUGUUUCUUUCUCCCUCCUGCUGUGCUCAUAUUUAUUCCAAAGCCCUCUGUGCCGCUAAUAUGUUACUUUCUGUGUUUAUACACCAAGUAAACUUGGGAUAAGCUUGCCCUGUAAUAGGCAUAAUCUCUUUGUACCAAACGACAUUAAUGGUAGAUUGUGAGCAGAAUUACAACCAAGUGCCUCUGAUUAGACCACCUGAUAGCAUCACUCGGAUGCUUCAGAGUCACCUAAAGAGUAUCAAUUUACUGUUGAGUCAAAGAUCAUAAUACAUCAAUCCUUCUGAAAUCUAUAAAGCUACAACCUCAGGAAUUUGAGAUAUGGAGAGAAAAGUUAUUUGAAAUCAGAUUAUAAAGUCUUCCUAAAAAUCAUAAUGCUAAAGGUUUGGGUCUAUUUUAGGAGCUAAAAUCAUGCUAAAUGUAAAGAGAGGUAAGGCCCUAACCACCCCUCCCAGCACUACAGCUUUCUAGUUUCUCAGGCCCCUGUACCUGUAAGAAUCAGGAAGGGUAGGAAGACUUGUGCAAGGUGGAGUGGAGUGUUAACAUUGUAUCUUGGCAAUGUCUCAGUUUCAGAAAUAGUCCCAGGCCUACUUGCUGAACUUCGGUUUUAAAAUCCUCUCUCUCUAUUGAUCAUUAUUUUAUUCAUCAUCUAAAUUGUUGAAUGUAGACAUCUUUCAGGGUUGUAAUCAUAGCAUCUUUAUGAUUCCUUUAUCAUUCGUCUGAAAAUGAAUCCAAAAUAAUACGAUCUUGAAAAGCAGACCUUAAGGUAUGAAUGACCAUUUGUGGCACACAUAGUCUUUUAUGACUGGCUAAAAGAAAUGAAAAUACCUAAGAAACUUAUUCAUAAGAGAUGCUAAAAGAACUAGUAGGAGACUGUGAAUGCUCUGUAUGAACAUUUGAAUAAGCUUUGUCUGACUUUAACUUGUAAACUUUUGCUAGAUUAGAGAAUUAAAAACUCCUGAAACCAAGAUGUAUGAAAUGUCAUUAAAUCUAGCACAAAAUUUCUUGAAUAUGUCAGAUAAAGGAAAUCAUAUAUCCAGAGUGAAGAUGGAAUAUCAGUUGACAAGAAUCUACAUAGCACUUACUCUGAGGCAUAUGAAUCUAAAAAUCCAAUAAUGUCUUACCCUUUGAAAAUACUGGAAGUUGGAAAUGUAUUAGGAAAAUCGGUAAAAAUUUUCUUCCUACUAUUUGGAAUGAUUCCCACAUAAGAAUUCAAUACAAUACUUCUAGAAUAUUAAAGAGAUAUUAAAACAUCUCUACCUGUAGAAAACAAAAAUAUAAACUCACCUGACUUCUAAAGAGAGCAGUGGAAUAAAAUAGAUUGGGAAGAUUAAAAACAAGUCCUUUUGGCCCACCUUUUACCAAAACACUUUAAGCUAGGUAAAUGUUGAACUUCAGUUCAUCUAAAUUCCUCAGGUCUGUCAUCAGUUCUGUGACACAUUCUAAUGUUCUGAAUCAUUUGUGGUGAAUAAGCUCUCCCUUUUCUUCUUAUAGUGCUUAAAGUAACCAAUUUUGUGAGUUAUGAUUACUUAUUUUUAAAAAUUGAACUAUUGUUGUUUUCUCUUAGCAAAGUUGUCUAUCACCCAGUGAGUCCCAAGUGUAGAAAAGCCCUUGGCCAGUAACAUUGCCUACGCUUGGAGUUAGUUAAAAGGAAUGAGAGACUGACAACCCAGAUUCCGUUUUUAACCCAGCCAGAUACCUCAGCUGGCAAGCGGCUCAGCGCCCUCACCAUAAAAUGGGUAUAAUAAUAGCUUUCCUUACCACUGUGAAAUAUUUAGAAUGCAAUCAAGCCAAACCUGUCUCCUUCCAAAGAAAAGCUUAAACCACCCUGCAUAAUCCUGAAUGAGCCCAGAUUUUAAAGGGAAGCAUAAAAUGGGAAACACCUAGAGGUAGUAUAAUUUAGUGGUUAAAAAAAAUGUAGACUUUGGAAUAAUACAAACUUACAUGCUAGCAGCUGUGUGAUUUGAGACUAAAUUUUUUAAAUCCCCCCUCCUAAUAAAUUGUAAAUAACAGUAUUUUCUUAGUGAGGAUUAGAUGAUAUAGUGUACCAAUGCUUCUUAAACUCUUCCACUUGGAUUAUCCUCAAGAUAGUGAUCUGAGUGCCUGCUGAGACAUCGCCAGACACAGUGGACUUUUCAGUGAGGCCUCAUUUGUCGCUUUGAAAAUACAUACAAAUUUUGCUUUCUACUCUGUAGUAUAUUCUUAUGUUUCACCAAAUUGGAAAUUCUACAAGGACAAGACAGAAUCUAUUGUGUUUCUUCUAUAACAUCCAAGAAACAGUUAUUGGCUAGAAGAAUGAAUUACAAUAAGAAUUUAAGUUGCCCGCAAAGAAAACUGAUCCUCCAGGAAGUCAGGCAUGUCUUAGUAAUUCUGUAGCUUUGGGCACUCCAUGUUACACUCUCCAUACCCUAGGUAUACACAGAGUCAAACUGAAGAAGCUUUUACUUACCAAGAUGCCUGAAACCAUAUAAGGUACUCAGUAAAUUUUAGUAACUCUUUUUAUCAUUAUAAUUUCUCUGCUCCAUGCUUCUCUACCAUAGUAUAGGUAUGGAUCUAUGGACAAUUUAAAAAACAAAUUAUAAAAGGCUUCGAAGAUAGGCUCCUGAGAGGCAUUAAAGAAGCCCACGUGUCUCUGAGCACACAUGCUCACCCACUUAGAGCUCUAUUUCUUACAUGUCUUCCUUACUUCUGGCUUCAGCCUGUUGUGUUUUGUUAAAACUUCCUGAGGGCAAUGAGCAGUGAGAUUUAAAAAGGGGUUUUCUACUCUCCCUCAAGGUCAGGGGUAAGUAACCUGGGAUUCGUAAAUGAAUCUUCAUGGAGUCUGGGAAUUCCUUGAAACUUGGUAUUUUUGAGGAGUUUUUCUGAGGGAGGGAUUUGCAUAGGAAUCUGUUUUUCCUUUUUUUUUUUUUUUUUUUCUGGUACCGGGAAUCAAACUCAGGACCUUGUGCUUGUGAGUCAGCCGCGGUGCCACUGAACUAAAUCCCCCGCCCCUUGCAUAGGAAUCUGUAUCACCUCCAAAUGUUGGAAACCACUGCUACAAAAAUUGUGUAAAUUGAAAGUAGAAGUAACUAAUCUUUAAAAUUACAAGUAGUAAUACUUUUAGUUCCUUGAAUACUGACAUUGUAUAACAAUUUCUACUUGGAAAUCAUGAGGCUUAGACUCCACUGUAAGUUACCUCUUUUGCUUAUCUCUUUGCAUAAGCCCCCACCAUUAUGUUUUAAUGCCCUGAAUUAUUUGGCCUUUAUAGUUUGAUAUUCUCUACUCUUUUACAUAUCUCUGUGUUGAUCCUAGCAUGCUUAUUGUGAAUGUUUUAUGGAAAGCUCUUUGAAUUUUAGAUAAAAAUAAUUUACAGACAUAUAAGGUGAAUAUCUUUGAAAUAGAAAGGGCAUAUAUCUAUAACAUAACAAUUUGAACUGAACAAAAGUAAAUCUCUGCAGAUUAAUACAUAUUCUUAAAUUUUAAACACGUAUUGUAAUGCAAUCAAGAAGUAGGAGUCUUUUGAUGUUAAUGAACAUUUAUGAAUUGUAUAAAUCUGUGAGAUUAAAUCUUAGUCUUAGUAUUAAAUUUGGGAUCAGUAUUAUUGGUUUGCAUUAAUAUAUAAGGACAAUUACAUUCAAACAAAUCUUCAAUUUAACUUGGUUUUAAAUUGUGUUAGACUGUGACAUAUACUGUGAUUUUUCUCUUCAUCUUGGAUUCCUGUCAUUGACAGCCUGUGUGUCAUUUGACAUCCGGAAAGAUCAUUUUUCAUUCCAUACCUUGUUUGUAUUAGUCAAUUUAGGUACACUUUACAUUGAUCUCUUUUGAUCACAUCAAAAUUAAUUUUGACUAAUUUCAUGAAUAAAAUGUCCAUUGAAAUUUAGAAAAAGUUACAUGUUUAGACAUAUGAAUAUAAAUACUAAGUAUAGUCAAAAGAGCAUAAUAUAUUACUGAAAGUUAUUGGAUUUAUAACAUGCCAUAGAAAAGUGGAAACUUAACAUAUGUUUUAGAAAAUUGCUAACCAUAUUUUUUUUUUCUCCUGAAAGGUUGAGAAAGAAAGCAACCUCAAAAAAGUGGUGGAGAGGGGGUUAGAGAGAAAAAAGAAAGAAAAAAAGGAGAGAAGGAAACAGGGGAAAAUUCCUUGACCAUCAGUUUGUCACCUGCCCCUUCUCUUUAUGUAAGUAAAAGUGGUUUAUUUACCUUUUAAAAAGUUAUGUCAGAUUUGGGGAAUUUUGGUCUUUAUUGACAUCUUUGCUAGCUGACUUGGCCUCUAGCAUUUGUUUGGUGUGUGUUAGCUUCUUUCGUGUUUGGAGUUGAGGCUGUUGGUAGUAGUGGUAUGUUACCAUCCAGGUGGGAGCUGAAAAGACCAGCAGCCCAAGCUCCUGUUCCUAUAUAGACUGCCCUGUACUUGGCCAUGUUGCUAAUUUCAAAGGUCACUGCUCUUCUAAACUGCGGCUUACGUUUUUCUAUCAGUUAUCAGCCAUGAGUUGGGCUAUCAGUGAGUGCACAAUUAUUUAUUCUGCAGUUACUCACCUAUCUAUAGAUCCAACAGUUUUUAAUUUUAACUCCUAGAUCAGAGAUGUCUUUUUACUAAGGAGUAUAAGACAGAAAAUUGAAUAGACUAAAUUUUUGUGCAAAAUUUUUAAAGUUGGGGGAGAUUAAAAGAAAUCUAGGAUUCAUAUGUGCCAAUAGGCAUAUAAAAGAUACCAUUGUAUUUUAGAAAAAAAUGAGAAGUUAUUUGGGAAAAAAACAUUUGAUUUUAAGUGAAAAAAUUUUUUAUUGUUGUUAUUAUUAAUAGAACCAAACCAGGCUAAACUGCUAGGGUUUGGGUUUGAAUAUAUAUUACUCUGAGUUUCUUGAAAGAGGUUCUGGGGCAGCAAAACCAAAAGAUCAAAGUCAGUACAAGAGACACUGCCCAAGAAAUCCUACAGUGAGUGACAGUCACCUGAUGUGAUAAAUAAUCAUCAGCAUCCUUCUGGCUGCAUCUCACCCUCUGAUGCAUAUUGUCCAUUAAAAAUUAUGUCUUAUUUCACUGACUCUUUACUCCAAAGUAUUUCAUGUGUUGUAAUCAUCUGUACAAAGAGGAGGUUAGCAUGGCUUUUUUCCUUAUGUGUAGCUUCCACUAAUAUUCUUAGGAGCUAAUAGCAAAUAUAUUUAGGGGACCUGAGUCCUCCAAAGGAUUUUAAGGCUAAAGUCUAGUUUGACAUUUUAUUUGACAGAGAAAGGCUGGUGCUAUAUGUAAUGCAUUCAUACAGCAGGGGUGGGUCCUACCUUCCCCUGACACGUCUUGUUAUUCCCUGUUCUUGAUGUUGAUAGAGUAGGUCUGUUAAGGCUUUGGAAGAUGUCAGUGUGCAUACUUAUUGUUACCACUUUAUUUAUUUACAUCCUUCUCCUCAGUUACCCAGCACUGCAUAUUUCUAGUCUUCUGACUGGCAAAUCAUUUUUUGUUACAGUUCUUUUGUGUAAAACCAGUUCACAUAAUAGCUCUGUGUUAGACAAGGCAUUAAUCCUCACAUCACCAGAAUGAGUCAGCACCAUGCACUCCUGCCUGCACAGCUCAGCUAUUAUGACGUCAGUGCUUGAGGGCAAGCUUCAGACACAAGCAGUAUGAGAGACCUGUGUCACCUAUUAAAAAUCGAGGAGGAGAACUUUGAGAUAAAAGAUAUAAUUGAAAGGCUGUGUCUGGCUCAUAGAAAAAUGUAAAAUUGAUUCUGUGCUGCAUCAACCAUCAGUCAAGCAGCUUCUUGAGAGAUGGAAUUUUUUUAACCAGAUAUAAGAGGAGGGCAAAGACCUAUGGUAACUUGAUAAUCCGUUCAUAUACUCAUGACCUUGUCCCACCCUGGGACAUAGUUCAUGCUUGCUUGAAUUUUUCCAAAUUCUGAGGUUGCUUUUAUGCCAGCAAGGUGACGGUCCUGCUGUCCUCAAAUGCCCUGUGGUUGUGGCUGAUGGCUUCAGGGAUUGAGCCUCAGAGGCCCAUCAGAAAAAAAGGAACCAUUUCUUGCAAACAGAUCAGAACAUUAUCUCACCAGUGCUUCUCACUCCAAGUGCCUCUUCAGUGGCCUUCUCUGGAUAGGUGCAGAAUUCAGCAGUUUUGACCUCCCUUAGGCACUACAUUUAGUCCAAUGUCCCAAUCUGCAUUUGACCCCAAUUUCAAUAGUAACUGAAUAGCUGCCAGAUUUUUCCCAAGAGUUUUCCUUUCAAUUAGUCUUUUACAGAAACAAACAAACAAAUAAAAAGGAAUCCACCAUAACCUACCGUGCUGUUUUGAAGCAGGUAGCAGAGAGUCAUCCUAUGUGGGAAACCCUGUUCUUAUAAGUUAGGCCUCUCCACAGUUCAGACUGAGACACAUCCUUUAGACAGUGCCUUUCAGUAUUGAAAACCACAUUGUAAAUGGUGAUAAUUUACUGCCUUAGUGAUAUUCUCUGCUUUAAAAAAAGACAUUCCGGGCUAGGGAUUUAGCUCAGUGGUUCUGCCACAUUCCCCACAAGCACAAGGACCUGAGUUCAAUCCCCGGUACCAAAAAAAAAAAAAAAAAAGACAUUCCUCCAUCGCAGCAUCCAUGUCCCUGCCUUACUCUUACCCCAGCCAAUUAAUCACCAGCCUCUUUGAUAAUCAUCAGAAAAUGCCUUACUGCUGGGCUCUUCCACCUUCAUUAGAUUGAUAAUAGUCUCCUACCAUGCUUAUAAAAGCUAAUACUACUGUUUGGCUUAGUUUUGAUUCAUUAUGCAUAGAUCUUUAUUUUGUUUUCAGUUAACCAAUGUUUAUGGAAAACUUGUUACUAUACUAUGUUCUGGGAACUCCAAAAUAAAUAAGACAUGAUCCUUUUUAAAAAAUGUUACAGUAUAAUAGGGGAGAAAAAUAAGUGAAUAAAGACUAUCUUAUGUGAUAGGUGUAGGAGUGUAGGUACACCCAAGAUGUAUGAAGAAGAAUGAGAAAGGAGUGCCCGUCUGCAUGUGGGGAGGUGUCCAAGAUGAUUCUUAAAGUCAAAACAAUGAAUAUCAGUAUACCAGCUGGAUAGAGGAGAGGUAAAAGGAAGAGGAUUCAUAAUCAAGUAAAACAUGAGAACAUUUAUAAAGUCAAGAGGCAUCAAGUUAUAGCCAGGUCCAUAGGACUGAUUGGUUUUGUGUUGCUGGAGCUCAGUAAGUUGAUUAAAAGAGUAGCAUAAGAGAUGGAGGUGGGAAAGCAGGCAGGGGGAAGAUCACAAAAGGCCCUUGUAUACCAUGCAAAGGAGUCCGGACUUCCUUCUUCAGGCUCAAAGAGAUUUUAAAGAAUUUAAAGAAAAUUUACGUUUUGGAAAGAGCACUCUAUUGUUGAGAUGGCUGACUGAGAAUAGGGAAACCAGGUCAAAGGUGAAAACCAAGGGCCCCAACUGUUCAGUUAGGUCUGGAGUAGAACAGAGAGGCUAUUUGGGAGUAUUGACAUAGGCAUUAACAUUUGCAGAAUUCCAGCAUAUCUUGGCCCACUGCAUAAACCUGCCUUCUAGGAGAAAGGUUAAUAUGUUGAAUGAGGCCAAAUUUCAGACCAAAAUACAUCCUUAUGGGAGCUUCACGGGAGAAUCUCUCUCACCUUACUCUGAGCUGCUGGUCUCCAGGAUUGUGCGUAUCCUGCCCAAAGUAGGCAUGAGGCAAGAGGAAAGGGAGCAGAUAAGAAGAAAAUGUUGCUUUUCUUUCACCUGAAAAUCAAACCAUUUCCUAAUAAUGUCUCCUUAAAGUCAGUUAAUGCCCCAAUUUCCUAUUGUUUUCCCAUUGCUGCUUUUUCCAAGCAGAAUUUUCAAGCCAUUGAACUGAAUUGCAACUUAUGCACAGCCCGGGUGUUGAAAUAGUAAAGUAUAUUCAUCCCUUCUCUCUGAAUGAGAGUUCACCAUAAGUGUGCUUUUCUCUUGUUCACUUUGGGCUUCCAGGACAGUUUAAAGGAAAUGUUCAACAGCUUAUGUCUCACGUACCCUGUUCGCGAGACAAACGGGAAGAUUUGCGUGGGUGUGUUUAAGUCUUCUCUAUAUUGCUUCCUAGAGAAAGGUUUGAGAAGAUGAACAAGAUGGGGAGUAGGGACCUACUGAAAGCCCAGGUCUCUCAGUGACCUGAGUGCAGAACAUAGGCUGGUGAUCAGAUGGUCAAUUAUGUGUUUGUCAAAACACAGUGGGCUGCAUUCCAGAUUGCCAGCUUUGGAGGCCCAGUUUCUGCCAACCAAAUGUCAUCUGGGAACAUGCAACACUGGGCACUGUGAAGGAGUUUGAAAUAGACCACGCCACAGCCAACCUACUGCCACUCUUAUAGCACCAAUAUGGCAUGCACAGCCGGGCCCCAUGUUUCAGAGCUCAGGAAUUCACUGUACUAAAUUCAGGAGGUCAGAUGGGUUCAUGUUUUCAAAGCCUAUGUUCUCUGCUUUGAACACUGUGACUUGCUGCUCAACAAUUUCCAGGGGAUUUUUCCAGUCCCCUGUCUGUGGAAACCACUCUUUUUGUGAUGGUUAUGAGAGCCUUGUAAAUGUCCUGGAGGAAAAGGAAAAAAAUAAACUUGCUCUGACAAUGACUGUGAUUCCUACAAGGGAUUCCAACUCUUAGGAAAUUACAUUAAAGGUGCAUAGCUUUUAAAAUAUCAGGAACCACCUUGGCAACUUAUGAAAAGCAGAAGGGCUUUGCCUAUUUUAUAAAGUGAUUUGCAUAUACCUGCAUAAAUAAUGUCCCCACCUGUACUUUUAUGCAUUUAGGUUGAAUAAAUUAAAUUCAGUGAUCUUUAAAAUAUUCACUGUCUUUCAUUGCUAAGACUCCAUUUUCAGGACCCUUCUCUCUUUUUUUUUUCUUGUAGUGGUAGUGGCUUAUUUUUUUUUCCCAGCUAAUUCAGAGAAUCAAAACACUGUGCAGACCAGUCUACCACAGCCAGGAGUAUCGUCUCCCGCUGCUUGAAUUUCCCUUAGUUUUCUAUCUAUCGAGCCAUGUCCCAUAUACUUUUCAAGCUAGAAAAUGGAGGAAUAUAUUACUAAGAUGAAAGCAUGGCACAAGAUAGGAUUAAGCUCUGCUACCUAUAUGUAUAUUCAGACUUUUCUUUCUUUGAGCACUGCCAUAGCCCCUUCAGAAACAAUCCAGCUACCUAUCCCAUAACAAUUUUAAGUCGGGCCUUCAAACCGAAGCCUGGCUCAGUAGGCCAGUCUCAGCCACAGUCAUUCCAUAAGAUAUUAUUAAGCACUUAUUAUGUACAAAGAAUCAUGUCUAGUGGAGAAUUAAAACAUAAAUACAGGAUAUUGACCUUAUUGUAAAUGAAUUUGAAAUUGAGUUAGAAAAGAAGUUAUACUGUGGAGUAUUUUGUAUGUUCAUAAGACGGUAAAUGUUGAAGUUGCACAAAGAAUGAUUUAGUCCAGGAGGAACUAUAAGAUUUCAUUCUUGAGAUCUUGAGAGCUAGAAAUUUACAUAUAAAUGUAAAAUGUGAUUCAAAUCGAUCUUUAAAAGUGGCUAGAAUGCAAAAAAGAUAUGGAGAAUGAUAUUUCAAACAAAAGCACUGGGAUCUUUGAGCAGGUCUAUAAGUAGCACUGUUCUUCUUCACCCAAAUUCUAAACCCACUGAAAAAUGAGACAAAAGAAUUGAUAGCUGGGGAAUCAAAAUUCUGUAAAUGUUGGUUGAAGAGUAUAGGAAAAUGGGCUCACUGACUCCCUUCCCUUCACCAUGAACUUUGAAAAACUUUCCUAAGGGAUAAUUUGGACCUUCAUAUAACCAAUACUUUUCCAGGUCAUAAUUCCCACUAGUCUAAGUAGUAAAGAAGGGAGAAUGAGGCUAAACUGUACUUACAAACUGAUAGAUCAAUUCUAUGUAAAUGAGAAAUAUGGACCACAGGCUGUUUUACCAACAAGAUGAUUUGUUUCUAUGGAGAAGUAUAAGGAAUGAGGCAAGAGGUAAACAGUGUUCAGAAAACUUGUUUGUGGAAACUCGGAAUAAGGAAGAUAUAGUCUUAACCAACAUGAAGAUCCACAAGCUGGAAAAUAGGAGCAAGUGAGAUGAACUAGAAGUGGGAUGAAAAUGCAGAACCAAGAGGCUAGAAAAUUUUUUCAUCUGUCUAAGGGGUACCCCUGGGACUAGAAUCAGCAGUCAUUGUGGUUAGCCAAGUGGUUAUACUGAGGACUGCUUUUGGGUGUCUCAAAGUUAUUAGCAACAGAACCUGGAGUAACAGGCAAACAUAAAUAAAUAAAUAAACCUAUUAGGAAAAGAAACACAAACACUUGUAUCUCUUAUUAAACUAAUAACAACAAUAGGACAUAAUGUGGACAUAACAUUUAUUGAAUACUUGCCUUGCUUUUGGUACUAGAUUAAAUACUUUUAAUGGCUAUCUGAUUUAAUUUAUAAAGCUAUAAUAUUAUGUAGAUGCUGUUAUAAUAGUUGUGCAGAUGAAGAAAUUGAGAUUUAGUAAUGUGAUUUUCUCCAGUAGUUCAGUGACCAACAUGAAAAGACAUAAGAAAUGUGUAUUUCAGUUCAAAUUAUGGUGGGGUUUCACCAGUGUUUGUAGACAGGAAUUGCAGUUUUAGUUUUUCUUUUUUGUUGUUUUUGUUUUUGUUUCCCAUCUUUGGUUCUAGCUGAGGCCAGUGUAGAAGGGCAGUGAAAAGGCUCAGCUAAAUUAUCCAAGCAUUUAUUGGGACCUACAUUGUGUGUGAUCCAGAAAAUACUUAGAUGAAUAAGGCACUAUCUCUGCCUUCAAAAAGCUCCCAAUCUAGGGUGGUCUGAAGGCUGCCAUCUGGCCCAAGAGACUAGGAGCAGUUGAUUAAUCUUUGCUAAAAGACAAGAGGACUCACAUCUCCCUUUUCUUUUUCUUUCUUUUUUUUUUUUGCUGGCUCCUUCCCUUCCUCUACUCUCCCUACCCUUUCCAUUCCCAGUCAUUGUUUUUUUUCCUCAAAAAAUAUCUCUCUGCCUUGUUGCCAAGCCUCUAAUAAGCUUCAAGCAUAUAUGAAUGACAAGUCUGAUUUUUCUCACUAUCAUUUUGCUAAAAUUUGACCAUUUAGAAGCAAUUAGAUCAUCUACUUGAAGUGGUGUAUAGCAUGAAUUUUCUCUAAAUUUUCAGAGCUGGCAUCUAACUAUUCAAAAGGUUAUUUAAGAGGAAAUGAGAGAUGAAGGAUGGGUAGGUUGGAGAGAGAAAAAAAGGAAAGAAAGAAGGAAAGGAAGGAGGAGAAAAAUGUAGGAAAAGAAAGAAGGCUAAUUACAGAAGACUUUUAGGGAGUUCAAAAUGGAACUCUGAUUUGAAAUGAAUAAAUGAGUUUCUGUCUCUAGUGUUGAUCUAAACCAUCAGCUUCCAGAGUGGAAACCUGAAGCAACCAGAAUAUUAUAGAUUGAUGAAAUUCCAGCUGCUGGCAGAUUUUUUUUUAGUUUUUAAAAAAAAUCAUAUUAGUACAUAUGUGCAGUAUAUGAUGAUUACAUUCCUUACAUGGAGUUGAUACAUGUCCAUAACACGUUUUAAUUUUUUCACCCCCUUUCCUUUCUCUCCCUUUGUACUCCCUCCAUCUCUUGAUUCCGUUCCCAUUUAAGAAAGAUCUAUCUUCCUCCUUUCUAUUGUCAAUCUUUUAUUUUGCACUUUAUUUAUAUUUUAAGUAAAAACCAUAUGACACUUAAACUUGUGUGUCUACUUUAUUUAACUUAGCAUUAUCCAUUUCCCUACAAAUGACCUGUUUGUGCUUCCUUAUGGCAGAAUAGUGCUCCAUUGUGUGUAAAUGCUACAUUUUCUGUACCCAUUCAUCUGUUGAUGAACAUAUAGGCUGCUUCCAAGAUUUAGCUACUAUGGAUUGUGCUGCUAUAAAUAUGGAUAUGCAUGUAUCACUGUAACAUGCUGCUUUUUGGGGAAGACACCAAGAAGUAGAGUAGCUGGAUCAAAUGGAAUUUUUAGUUUUAGUUUUUUGAGGAAUCUCCAUACUGAUUUACAUGGUGAUUGCAAUAGUUUACAUUCUCACCAAAAAUGAAAAAAGGUUCCUUUUCCGCACAGCAUCACCAGCAUUUUUAUUAUUUGAUUUUUUGAUGAUGGCCAUACUUUCUGAAAUAAGAUUAUAUCUCAGUCUUGUUUUAAUUUGCAUUCCAGUAAUGGCCAGCAGUGAUGAACAUUUCCUAAUGUAUUUAUUGGCCAUUAGUAUGUCUUCUGAGAAGUGUCUAUUCAUUUCAGUUUCCCAUUUUUUCAUUGUGUCUUUUAUUUGGGAAGUGUAACUUUUUUUUGAGUUCUUUAUAUAUUCUAGAUAUUAAUCCUCUGUGUGAGGAAUAGCUGACAGUUUAAGAGAAUAUAUAAAGAGGAUGUGAAGGAGGUGAAAAAUCCUAAUUUCUGGUAGAAUCCUUUCCUGAGAUUUAUUCUGAGCAUUAUAAAAUGAUACUUUAAGAAGAAGUAAUAACAUAAUGCCUUUCCUUUAUUGAAGCACAUUCUAUUCUGCUAAAUUCCCUUUAGGAAAUAACAUUAGGACCAUUUGAAUCAAAAUUAAAUUGCAGAUACAUCUGGGGUAAAAUUUACCAGCUGUUGAGUGAAGGAGCUGUAUUUUUUAAUAUUUACUUCUUAUAUGAUUGUAUAAUUUAUAAUUAUUAUAAAAUGUUAAGAAAGCAGAGAGUAAGCAGAAAACAUCCAUAAUCCCAUUACAUUGAAACAACCAUUAUUAACAAAUUUUUAGAUCACCUUCAAGUGUCUUUGCUAGACUUUAACAUAAUUGUGCAUAUAUUUCAUACAUAAGGUUGUAUCUUAUUUUUAAUUCAGUAUUAUUUUUUAAAUUUUUUCCAUUAAGUUUAUUGGUACAUUUUAGGUAUAAAAUACAGUUACAUUCAUCAUUGGGAUCUUGUACCUUUACAUGAGUAUCUUGGUUCUUAUUUUUUUCUCCUUCCCCUGCCCUCCCUUCAACCCCUCUACCCUUCCCUAUUUGCAAAGACUGUUUCCCUUUUUUUCCUUUUCUCAUAUAUUUUCUUUUCCCUUCUUUCCUUUCCCCUACCCCUCCCACUUCCCCUACUCCUUUAGACCUUUUCUUCCUAUGACACAAUCUCAAUUAUACAUUUUUUAAAUUACAAUAUCAAGAUCUAGGAGACAUUACCACAUAUUUUAUAGAAUUUAAAAGGAUAUAGAAGGCAUAUUACAAAAAUCUUUUUUGAAAUAAAUUUGACAACUUCUAAGAAAUACCUUGGAAGACAAAUUAAUGAAACUAUGGAGGAAAUAUAAAAUUUGAAUAGCAACUAUUAAAGAAAGUAUAUUCCCAGCUUGAAAACCUACCUUUAUGACAACAGCAGACUCAUAUACAUUUUAACUGAUAAAUUAUAUCAAACAUUUAAAGCAGAAAAAAGAAGGAACACUUCUCCCCUCAUUUUAGGAAAUCAACGUUGUACUAAUACUAAAACUGGAUAAAGAUAAUAGAAGAAAAAAAGUAUGAACAUACAUAAAAAUUUGUUUAACAAAACAAACUAUUAGCAGUCAGAUUUGGCAGUAUGUAGAAAGUGGUUUUGUUAUAGGGAUGGCAGUGUUGGUUCAGCAUUGGAAGAUCCACCCCCAAAAGUCAUCAUUUUAACAGAGGACAGGAAAAAGCCAUAUGAUCCUGUCAGUAUUUGGAAAAAAAAGUAUUGGAUUAAAUUCUACAGCUGUUCAUGGUAAAAACUAUCAGGAGACUAGAAGUAGAACAGUACCUUCUCAACAGAUCAAAGACAUGUACUCCAUACUUCCAGCAAAAACGCCUUAUAUAAAUGGAGAAGAUACAAUGCUUUCUCCCUAAGGUGAGGAACAAGGGAAGAUAGGCCUAUUCUUCAUCUGUCCAUUAAACUUUGAAACAUAGGCCCAAACCAAAAUAGUCUGGCAGGGCCGGGGAUUUAGCUCAGUGGUUCCGCUGCCUGCCUCGCAAGGGGAAGGACCCAAGUUCAAUCCCCGGUACCAAAAAAAAAAAAAGGGAACUGAAGCUCAGGCCAGGGAUUUAGCUCAGUGGUUCUGGCGCCUGCCUUGCAAGGGGAAGGACCCAAGUUCAAUCCCUGGUACAAAAAAAAAAAAAAAAAUCAUCUGGCAAUAAAAUGAAACAAUUAGGAUAGGAUUGGCAAGGUAGAAGUAAAAUCUUUAUAUUCUUUAUAUGUAGAUGAAAUGAUCAUCUACAGAGAAAAUGCUAAGAAAUCUCUAGGAGCCCCUAGAACUUGUAUUUGAAUUUAGCAGGAUUAGAAAACACAGGGUAUAUAUAAAAGUUCAGGUCUAUGUAUACUUGCUAUAAAUGAAGAAUUGGAUAUUGAAAUUUAAAAGUUAUGUAGAAGUACACAGGACCUAGAAAAGUAAAAAGAAAAAAAAAACAGUGUUUGAAGACAUUUAGUACCUAAUUUUAAGACUUCCUCUAAAGCUACAGUAAUCAAGUCAGUGUUGGUGUAAGGAAAGACAUAUAGAUCAUUGGAAUAAAACAGAGAAUCUAGAAAUAGAACCACACAUAUAUGGUCCACUGAGUUUUGAAAGAUUAUUUAACAUUAAUGUUUUAUAGAACAUAAACUCAAUUCAAGAGCAGAGGAAAAGAUAGUGUUUUCAGCAAAUGACACUAGAAUACCUGGUAUCCGUAUAUAAAAAAUUAACCUCAACCCUUUAUUUCCAUACAUAAAAAUAUCUUGAAAGGAUCUAUGAACUUAAAUAUGAGAGAUUAAAAAAAAGAAAUUAUCAGGGAAAAUGUUUAUGAAUUUAGGGUAGGCAAGAAUUUCUAGGAUAGAAAAAACAGGAUGUAUAAAGGAAAAAAUUGAUAAAUGAGAUUCCAUUAAAAUUUAGAACUUUAAAUGACAUCAUUAAGAAAAUGAAAAGUAAUCCUUAAACAGACCAUAUUUACAAUGCAUAUAACCUAUGACCAGAAUAUGUAAAGAACACUUGCACCUCAUUAAUAGACAACUCAAUUGAAAAGUAGACACAAGAAGAUGAUAAAUAGCCAGUAUAGCACAGGGAAAGGUGUGCAACACUAGAAUCAGAAAAAUACUAAUCAGUACAAUAACAAGAUUGAAUUAUACACUCAUUAGGGAGAUGAAGUUAAAAGUUUUAAAAGAACAAAUGUCAGCUUAGGUAUGAACCAAUUAGAACUUUCUAAUACUGCUAAUGUGAAUGUAAAAUGAUAAAACCAUUUUGGAAAAUAAUAUAGAAAUUUCUUGUAUUACUGUUAAGAACCAACAGUUCUGUUCUUAAGUUUUUACUUGAGAGAAAUGAAAACACAUGUUCACAAUAGAUUUGUAUAUACAAGUUGACUAUCCCUUAUCUGAAAUUCUUGGGACCAGAGUGUUUCAGAUUUUCAUUUGAAAUCCACUUGAUCUACAAAGAGGAUAGCUACUUCUGCUUUUUUUUUUUUUAUUCCUGUCACGUGGAGUAUUGUUUUCUACCCUUUUACUUUCAGUCUGUGAGUUUCUUUUUGAAUUAAAUGUGUUUCUUGUAUGCAGCAUAUUGUUGGAUCUUGCUUCUUGACCCAUUCUGCCAGUCUAUAUCUUUUGAUUGAUGAAUUGAGACCAUUAACAUUGAUGGUUAUA